AUGCUGUCAGGCAUGUCCCCCUUCCUCAUGCUUUCCAUGGGGGAGCCCAUGGGUGUGGUUUCACCCACACAAAGAGGGCUGAAGCUGGCAGGGUAUAGCCUCAUCGUCAAAAGGAGGCCUGGUAUAAGGACAGAGGGACCAAGGAGAGCUGAUGGAAAGCCUCCAAAGAGCAUCUGUAAGACCCAGGCCAGGUCUGCUCACUACCACAGGCUGACCUGCCGCCUCAGCCCCGGUGAAGUUCCAACACAGACCAGAGAAGUUGCUGUCCAUAGCUGGGGCUUCCAGAAGUGGCCCUGCCUUUGCCUGACAGCUGUGGCCUCUGUCCUCUAUGGGUGAGCUAGUUACUACAAAGCAUAUGCUUUCUUCCUGCCUAUCCUUUUCCCACAGAAAAACAAGGCCUACAGAUUGCAAAUGGAAUCAGAAUAGACCCAGAGCUCUGGCCAUCAGUAACACCCACUGACAACGGGGUUUUAACGGACAAACGCAGGGGCUGUGCUGAGAUGCCAAAAUCCUCCCCCUCCUUUGACCUGUCACUUUCCUUUGUUGUUCCCCCCACCCCCACUCACCUUUUUUCCCCCCUUUUUUGGGACUAAAGUCUCACAAUAUAACCUUGGCCCAAACUCAGAGAUCCACCUGCCUCUGCCUCCUGAGUGCUGGGAUUAAAGGUGUGCACCACCAUACCAAACUCAGCUUCUCCUUCAUUUUCUGGGAGGGUCUAGACCCGUACACCAGGCAGGCGUCUCCUUCGGGGUGCUACAAUUUCUGGUGUGCAUAGCACACCUAGCUUGUACUAUUUAUUUUUUUCCUCUUUGCUCGAAAGCUCAUGCAUAAAUUUAUACAGGCAUCCAGUGUACAUGCUUACUCACAGGGCUGCUUUUGCACAGUGCCUACAUGUGCAAGCAGGGUGCUUCAACAUAGACCAGCAAUCACAGUCUUGUUUGUAGAUUCACGCCCACGAACACAGAUACACUCAUUUUAUACCCACUCACAAGGAUACACACAAGCACAGACACACCUAUGCAUGAGUAAAUAUAGACCACCCAUGCACGUGGACACCUGCAAACAAGGGUAGAGAGCUGUGUGCCACCUGCCCUGCCCCCAAGCCCUCUAGUCCUCUGCUCUGGAGACCUCUGCUGGUGGAGCCAGGAACUGCACCCAGACUCUGCAACUGAGCUCAGCUGGAGGCUGGAGGGAGGAAGAUGAGGAGUGAACCGGAUCCACCCGGGUCAGAUCCUGGGCUCCAUGUUGCUGCUUCCACCUGGUUCAUGCAUGUGACUUUUUCUGCAGCUUCCACUGCAGUGCAGAAGGAGUCUUCAUGAAAAGAUCUCCCACAGGU
rnacentral:lncRNA from 1 species